UUUUGUUCAUGGGUUGCAUUGCUGGCUGUACAAGUACCUUGCAACGAGUUCCAAACCAGGCUGGAAUGAGGAAUAUUUAAUUGGAUUAAAAAAAAUUGCCGUCUGCUUCAAGUGAAAGUCAACAGAAUGAGUCCCUGAGAAGCCUGGUCACGGUGAUGACCACUGUAAACACAGAAGUCAUAGACUGAAUUUUGGGCCCUGUUUGGGUUCUUUUGCAGUGGGGGAGGGGGAUGACUAUCAUAGAAUCCUAGAAUCAUAGAAUUACCCAGAUUGGAAAAGACCCUGAAGAUCAUCAAGUCCAACCACAGCCUAACCAUAGUACCCUAACUCUAACAACCAUCUGCUAAAUCAUAUCCCUGAGCACCACAUCCAAAUGGCUCUUAAACACAUCCAGGUAUGGUGACUAUAUUAACUACUAAAAUAAUUCCUGAAAGUUUGCAUGUUUGAAAAGGCUAAAGCUGGGGAG
rnacentral:lncRNA from 1 species